rnacentral:rRNA from 1 species
AACGUAGGACGCAAGCGUUAUCCGGAGUUACUGGGCGUAAAGCGCGGGCAGGCGGCUCGAAACGUCUGAUGUGAAAUCUCCUCGCUCAACGGGGAGAGGCCAUUGGAAACGGUCGGGCUGGAGGGCAGUAGGGGCAGGCGGAAUUCCGGGUGGAGUGGUGAAAUGCGUAGAUAUCGGGAGGAACACCAGUGGCGAAGGCGGCUCUCUGGGCCUUUCCUGACGCUGAGACGCGAAAGCGUGGGGAGCGAACCGG